GGAUGUGAGGGUGAUCUGGCUGCGACAUCUGUCACCCCACUGAUCACCAGGGUUGAUUGGGCUGAUCUGGCUGGCUAGGCGGGUGUCCCCUGCCUCCCUCACCACUCCAUGUGCAUCCCUCCCAAAGCUGUGUGCUCGGUCGAAGAGGACCACCUUCCCCGAAUACAGGAGGACGGGUCUUCGGUCAAGGGUAUAGGAGUAGCUGUGCUCCCUGGCUUGAACCUCCAAACAAGCUCUCAAGAAGGAGGUUUCCAGCUUAGUGCUAGCUUGAUUUCUCAGUGUCCUGAAACCAAAGCAUGUGGAGUCCUCAGCA
rnacentral:snRNA from 1 species